AGAGUUUGAUCCUGGCUCAGGAUGAACGCUUUUGGCGUGCUUAACACAUGCAAGUUGAACGGGAAUGCCACGCUGAUGCGAUUUCGGUCAAAUCAUGUGGUAUUCGAGUGGCGGACGGGUGAGUAACGCGUGGGUAACCUGCCUUACCCCGUGGGGAUAACACUCUGUAAACUGGUGCUAAUACCGCAUAAGCCCACAGGGUCCCAUGGCCCGGUGUGAAAAACUCCGGGUGGUGUAAGAUAGACCCGCGUCUGAUUAGCUUGUUGGCGGGGUAGGGGCCCACCAAGGCGACGAUCAGUAGCCGGCCUGAGAGGGUGGACGGCCACAUUGGGACUGAGACACGGCCCAAACUCCUACGGGAGGCAGCAGUGGGGGAUAUUGGACAAUGGGGGAAACCCUGAUCCAGCGACGCCGCGUGAGUGAAGAAGUAUUUCGGUAUGUAAAGCUCUGUCAGCAGGGAAGAAAGAAAUGACGGUACCUGACCAAGAAGCCCCGGCUAACUACGUGCCAGCAGCCGCGGUAAUACGUAGGGGGCAAGCGUUAUCCGGAAUUACUGGGUGUAAAGGGAGCGUAGACGGUGAUGCAAGUCUGGAGUGAAAGGCGGGGGCCCAACCCCCGGACUGCUCUGGAAACUGUGUAACUUGAGUGCAGGAGAGGUAAGCGGAAUUCCUAGUGUAGCGGUGAAAUGCGUAGAUAUUAGGAGGAACACCAGUGGCGAAGGCGGCUUACUGGACUGUAACUGACGUUGAGGCUCGAAAGCGUGGGGAGCAAACAGGAUUAGAUACCCUGGUAGUCCACGCCGUAAACGAU
rnacentral:rRNA from 1 species